CCAAUAGCGUAUAUUAAAGUUGUUGCAGUUAAAAAGCUCGUAGUUGAAUUUCGGGGUCAGUAGGUCGGUCGUGCCACUGGUAUGAACUGGUUUUACUGAUUCCUCCCUCUUGAAGAACUGUAAUGCCAUGAAUGUGGUGUUGCAGGGAAUCAGGACUGUUACUUUGAAAAAAUUAGAGUGUUUAAAGCAGGCUUUAGCUUGAAUACAUUAGCAUGGAAUAAUGAAAUAGGCGGUUUGAUCCUAUUUUGUUGGUUCCUAGGAUUGACGUAAUGAUUAAUAGGGAUAGUUGGGGGCAUUAGUAUUCAAUUGUCAGAGGUGAAAUUCUUGGAUUUAUUGACGACUAACUACUGCGAAAGCAUUUGCCAAGGAUGUUUUCAUUAAUCAAGAACUAAAGUUAGGGGAUCGAAGACGAUCAGAUACCGUCGUAGUCUUAACCAUAAACUAUGCCGACUAGGGAUCGGAUGAUGUUAAUUUUUUAAUGACUCAUUCGGCGCCUUACGG
rnacentral:rRNA from 1 species